rnacentral:rRNA from 1 species
AUAAUGGGUCAGCGACUUAUAUUCUGUAGCAAGGUUAACCGAAUAGGGGAGCCGAAGGGAAACCGAGUCUUAACUGGGCGUUAAGUUGCAGGGUAUAGACCCGAAACCCGGUGAUCUAGCCAUGGGCAGGUUGAAGGUUGGGUAACACUAACUGGAGGACCGAACCGACUAAUGUUGAAAAAUUAGCGGAUGACUUGUGGCUGGGGGUGAAAGGCCAAUCAAACCGGGAGAUAGCUGGUUCUCCCCGAAAGCUAUUUAGGUAGCGCCUCGUGAAUUCAUCUCCGGGGGUAGAGCACUGUUUCGGCAAGGGGGUCAUCCCGACUUACCAACCCGAUGCAAACUGCGAAUACCGGAGAAUGUUAUCACGGGAGACACACGGCGGGUGCUAACGUCCGUCGUGAAGAGGGAAACAACCCAGACCGCCAGCUAAGGUCCCAAAGUCAUGGUUAAGUGGGAAACGAUGUGGGAAGGCCCAGACAGCCAGGAUGUUGGCUUAGAAGCAGCCAUCAUUUAAAGAAAGCGUAAUAGCUCACUGGUCGAGUCGGCCUGCGCGGAAGAUGUAACGGGGCUAAACCAUGCACCGAAGCUGCGGCAGCGACACUAUGUGUUGUUGGGUAGGGGAGCGUUCUGUAAGCCUGUGAAGGUGUACUGUGAGGUAUGCUGGAGGUAUCAGAAGUGCGAAUGCUGACAUAAGUAACGAUAAAGCGGGUGAAAAGCCCGCUCGCCGGAAGACCAAGGGUUCCUGUCCAACGUUAAUCGGGGCAGGGUGAGUCGACCCCUAAGGCGAGGCCGAAAGGCGUAGUCGAUGGGAAACAGGUUAAUAUUCCUGUACUUGGUGUUACUGCGAAGGGGGGACGGAGAAGGCUAUGUUGGCCGGGCGACGGUUGUCCCGGUUUAAGCGUGUAGGCUGGUUUUCCAGGCAAAUCCGGAAAAUCAAGGCUGAGGCGUGAUGACGAGGCACUACGGUGCUGAAGCAACAAAUGCCCUGCUUCCAGGAAAAGCCUCUAAGCAUCAGGUAACAUCAAAUCGUACCCCAAACCGACACAGGUGGUCAGGUAGAGAAUACCAAGGCGCUUGAGAGAACUCGGGUGAAGGAACUAGGCAAAAUGGUGCCGUAACUUCGGGAGAAGGCACGCUGAUAUGUAGGUGAAGUCCCUUGCGGAUGGAGCUGAAAUCAGUCGAAGAUACCAGCUGGCUGCAACUGUUUAUUAAAAACACAGCACUGUGCAAACACGAAAGUGGACGUAUACGGUGUGACGCCUGCCCGGUGCCGGAAGGUUAAUUGAUGGGGUCAGCGCAAGCGAAGCUCUUGAUCGAAGCCCCGGUAAACGGCGGCCGUAACUAUAACGGUCCUAAGGUAGCGAAAUUCCUUGUCGGGUAAGUUCCGACCUGCACGAAUGGCGUAAUGAUGGCCAGGCUGUCUCCACCCGAGACUCAGUGAAAUUGAACUCGCUGUGAAGAUGCAGUGUACCCGCGGCAAGACGGAAAGACCCCGUGAACCUUUACUAUAGCUUGACACUGAACAUUGAGCCUUGAUGUGUAGGAUAGGUGGGAGGCUUUGAAGUGUGGACGCCAGUCUGCAUGGAGCCGACCUUGAAAUACCACCCUU